rnacentral:lncRNA from 1 species
AAAUUCAAAUAAAGGUUCAUUGCAUCGGAGGUCACUUCCUCCAUCGCAUCUUCAUUCAACAAACUGGAAAGACUCUUCCUUAAUUGCAAAUUUCAAUUGCAGGGAAAAGGAAACAACAAAGGAAAGGGCAAUCGAAAACUUUUCCUCCAAAAACCCAGAGUCCAACACAAAUCCAAAAAAAAAGAGGGGAAGUAGAGUGUGGAAAUUAACAAUCAGAGGAGAAAAUGUCCCAAUCUUGAGGCGAAAUUGGGCACAAACCCUCGC